GGAUGUCCACUCAAAUAAUGGGCAAGUUGCCCUUCCACUAUUUAGCAUGUGAUUUACUUGUAUAAAAACAAGCCUUAUGAAACACAACAAAGGGAUAGAUAGAUGUGAAGGGUUCACGGGAAAGAAAGAGAGGAAGGAAGGAAGAGGAAGAGAGAGAAAGAAGAGGAAGAGAGAGAAUAGAGGAAGAUGAGAGGAGAUAAUAGAGAGAGUUAUCUUUGUACUCCUAUUAUUCUAAAUUAUAAUGAAAGCACCACUGCUGCCCCGAGGACGUACUCCAGUCACACUGACUGUAGAGGAACCUCGUAAAUUUUGUGUCUUGUUUCAUUUAUUCCACUGCACCCACAGUCGAUUUUACAACACGUUAUCAGCACGAGAAGCUCUCAUGUCGGUGGAAAGCACUACUUACCUCUCACAUCUAUCGGCUGGAAUCUCACAGAUAAGAAAAUCUUUUCAUUUCAUUCUCAUAUCUCUAAAUGACUAAUUUUCUUAAAGUAAAUAUACAUGUGGUUAUAUAAGUAUUGUCAUUAUUAUUGGCAGAAAAUCCGACGAUCAUAUGAGAUUUGAAACUUCAACUUCCAGUGCUCAUACAGAAACCAUUCCUUCAUAAAAGUUGUUCCUUAUCCUCUCUCCCAUAACAUACCAAAAUUCCAGAACCAUCCAACGGUUAAAUCAUUCCAUAUCUUAGAAAUAAUACUACAGACUCAAAAUCCGCAGAAAAUUUGGCAGCCAUGUAAAUAGCCACUGAACUCCAACUUCCUGACAUCCGAUUGAAAUACUUUCUUCUUGAAAGUUGUUUGUCCGCCUAGUACCUAGAACAUAUCCAAAUUUCAGAAAUUGUCAACGGUGCGAUCGUCGUAGAUGACUGAAACUUCAACUCAGCUUCCAUUUCCGCAGAAAACUGGACAGCCAUCUUAUGAGUACCAAACCUUCAUUUUCAGAAGCUCAGCUUGAAACUGUUUCUUCACGAAAGUUGUUUGGACCUGAAGUUCCUUGAUCAGAUCAGAACCUGCAGUUUCUUGAUCCUCAUCAUAUAAAAUGAUUGGACCCGAAGUUCCAUCAUACAAAAGGAUCUGGCAUGAAGUCCCUUGAUCCUGAAGAUCAGGACAUGAAGUUCCUAGAUGAGUACCGUAAGUUUGAAGUGCCGCAGUGCCUUAACUUAAUUGUAAUAAAAGCCAUAAGAGUCUUAGUUUACAGACUAUUAAAUAAGGACCAGAAGUUCCUUAUGUCCAUACUCAAAAUGGUUUAGCAGAAGCCUUUAUUAAGCGAAUGAAAUUGAUUUCCCGCGCUCUGCUCAUGAAAACGAAAUUGCCAAUUUUCUACAUGGGGACAUGUAAACUUUA